rnacentral:rRNA from 1 species
AGUGAACGCUGGCGGUAGGCCUAACACAUGCAAGUCGAACGGCCGCACAGUAAGAGCUUGCUCUUACGGGUGGCGAGUGGCGGACGGGUGAGAAAUACAUCGGAAUCUACUUUUUCGUGGGGGAUAACGUAGGGAAACUUACGCUAAUACCGCAUACGACCUACGGGUGAAAGCAGGGGAUCUUCGGACCUUGCGCGAUUGAAUGAGCCGAUGUCGGAUUAGCUAGUUUGCGGGGUAAAGGCCCACCAAGGCGACGAUCCGUAGCUGGUCUGAGAGGAUGAUAAGCCACACUGGAACUGAGCAACGGUCCAGACUCCUACGGGAGGCAGCAGUGGGGAAUAUUGGAGAAUGGGCGCAAGCCUGAUCCAGCCAUACCGCGUGGGUGAAGAAGGCCUUCGGGUUGGAAAGCCCUUUUAUUGGGAAAGAAAAGCAGCAGGUUAAUACCCCGCUGUUCUGACGGUACCCAAAGAAUAAGCACCGGCUAACUACGUG